AGUGAACGCUGGCGGUAGGCCUAACACAUGCAAGUCGAACGGCAGCACAGUAAGAGCUUGCUCUUACGGGUGGCGAGUGGCGGACGGGUGAGGAAUACAUCGGAAUCUACUUUUUCGUGGGGGAUAACGUAGGGAAACUUACGCUAAUACCGCAUACGACCUACGGGUGAAAGCAGGGGAUCUUCGGACCUUGCGCGAUUGAAUGAGCCGAUGUCGGAUUAGCUAGUUGGCGGGGUAAAGGCCCACCAAGGCGACGAUCCGUAGCUGGUCUGAGAGGAUGAUCAGCCACACUGGAAGUGAGACACGGUCCAGACUCCUACGGGAGGCAGCAGUGGGGAAUAUUGGACAAAGGGCGCAAGCCUGAUCCAGCCAUACCGCGUGGGUGAAGAAGGCCUUCGGGUUGUAAAGCCCUUUUGUUGGGAAAGAAAAGCAGCAGGUUAAUACCCCGCUGUUCUGACGGGACCCAAAGAAUAAGCACCGGCUAACUUCGUG
rnacentral:rRNA from 1 species